AUUCAUGGAUUAAAUAUUUAAAUAAAAAUAAAAAAUGUAAUUUUGCGGAGAAAAUAAUUUCCCUAUACACAAAAGAAAUGGAAACAUUUUAAAAUGACAACGGUGAUACAUUUUCUA